CAGGCAUUGCUGAGAGUAUCCCAGGGGUACCUGUCCCUGCUAGACAUGGAGCUCUCUCAUGGGCUGUAAUUGGGUGAUAAAAGUGGUGCUCCAAGUGCCAAAGAAGGGUGGGAUUGGGAUUAAGAAAUGAGCAGUGAUGGUGCAAUUGGCUGUUUUCUCUGGAAUGUGACUGUAAGAGCUGCAGGAGUGCAAGAUGUGUGUUCCAGUCCCCAGCAUUUGGUUUGCACAUGUCCUGCUCAGACACAGCUCCAACUUCCUCAGUCCUUAACACAAGAGAGGGAGAAUUAAGGACUGGCACUGUUAAGGAGAAAAUGGGGAAGCAGGAAGGAAGAAGAGAAGCCACGUGACUCCUCCCUGAGCCCCAGACAGCCCAGGAACUGCCUCCCUGGGAAUGGUAGGACGGGCUGGACUCUGGAAUGCUCCCUCUGGAUGUGUGGCUCUCCCCUGCAGGAACUCCAGGAACUCCUGGUGCCGCCUGGGCCGAUGGAUUGGACGCCCCAGCCCCUCCGUUCCUGCCCAGCCCCUGGGGCCGUGUCGAGUGGUGGCACUGCCAGCCCCUGCAGGUGAGGGGGAAAGGGCCUUUGCAGGUCUUGGGGAUCACAUUUAUAGCAGGUAAAGGGGCAGAAAAAGGCCCUGGAGUCUGUUAUUCUUGAGUUAAGAAAGCUCCUUUGGAUUGGUGAGCAGAACAAAGUGGAUCCUUCAGAGUUCCCAUGUGUGUUUGUGUCUCAGCCUGUGUUAUGAUUCAGGGCUGUCAGUUGUUGUCACUGAGGAGUCAAACUCUGCUUUAAAUAAUGAGACACUGGCCUGAUGGCCCAGUGUCAAG